rnacentral:lncRNA from 1 species
UGAUGGUGAGCUUGAGGUGGGUUUGAUGGCCGUGGAUGCAUGCAUGGGAGUGAUGGUAUGGGGUGCUGGAAGUGGGCAUGGGAAUGGUGGUCAAUGAGAAGGGUAGUGGGCAUGAAGAUGAGUAUGGAAGAUAGAAGGAUGAAGGGAAAGUUUAAUGGGUAUUUCGGUGAUAGUGGGUAUCAACAAUGGAUGAAAGCCAAGGUGACUACUGUGGGUCCAAAUGAUAGCAAUGUCCCUUUCUUUCAACAAGCCAUCAAAUACUAUCGAUGUCAUGGUCAGCGCCACCCAGAUUUCGACAAAACCGAAACUGAACGAGAGGAUAAACAAACACAAGAUGCUGACUAUGGUAUUGCUUCUUGAAGACAACCUCAUCAAUCGUUUGUCCGACUUGAAGGACUCAAUGUCAGCCUAUUUCAGUUUUCAUACAUCUUGUUUUGGACAGAACAACCGACUGUGCAAUGUCAUAAAUUGCCACUAUAACACCGAAGGAACCACCAGUGGAGUUGAUGAAGAGCAUGACAUUCUUGGUGGGGUCCUUUCAAAACCAACUGGAGACAUUCAACAGGGAAAAGAGAACUCCACAGAGAGCCACUCCCCUUUGGUUGAUAUCAAAUCUUAGUGCCGGAAUAGAGAAGAGAAAUGAUGCGCAAACCCAAUCACGCAUUGUCAUAUUAAGCUUAUCAUGAAAGUCAUCAACGGAAAAAUUGAACUCCUCUUCCCCUUAGAGAUCGUCACCUUCACUUUGAACCUCAUAGUAGAAUCUCAUCACCUAAUCAUAGUCCCUUCCCAUCAUAUUUGAUCUCUGAAUGAGUACACAGCCAGACCCAGAUCUACUUUCUUACAGCCUUUACAUUGAACGAGGCCCAGAAGCAAAGUAUUGGACACAACAAAGAAAAAUCCAUUGAAAAGAACACAAAAGAAAAUGAGUAAAGGUGAUUUUCAGAGAUUUCACUUCAUGAGUCAUCCGUGAACCCUCUGAUUAGGUGAGAAAAAUCAUUUCAAAGGCAACUAUGAGCAUUCUCAUAGGUAUCUCGGAAUAGAAGCAAGGUGCAUUAAGAUCAACAAUGGCAAACAUGAGUUCAAGAUUAUAUAUCAACAAGCAACAAGUGGCCUUCAUCAAUCCACCCCAAGCAAACCAACAAAUAUCCAGAUAUCAAAAAGAGAUAUGGAAGAGAGAUAAACAGCCAAAAACAUCAAUAUGCCUGUAGUAAUCAUACCUGAGGGAGUUUUUCUCCAGCAAAGACCAACAGGACUCCAAGUUAUCCUGCCUCCGACCAAGCUCCUUUCCUCUAACUCAGAGCACCUCUCUUGAAGCUCAAGACUCUCUGAAAACCGGCAAGAAAAUUAUCCCCCUCUCUCUCUGCCAGUCCGGCUUGCUUUUCAAGCAAUGCCCUCAAAAAUCUCUCUC